GUGCUCGCUUCAGCAGCACAUACACUAAAAUUGAAAUGAUACAGAGAAGAUUACAUGCCCCCUGCGCAAAGAUGACACACAAAUUCAUGAAGUGUUCCAUUUUUUU
rnacentral:snRNA from 1 species